rnacentral:rRNA from 1 species
GACGAACGCUGGCGGCGUGCUUAACACAUGCAAGUCGAACGGAAAGGCCCUGCUUUUGUGGGGUGCUCGAGUGGCGAACGGGUGAGUAACACGUGAGUAACCUGCCCUUGACUUUGGGAUAACUUCAGGAAACUGGGGCUAAUACCGGAUAGGAGCUCCUGCUGCAUGGUGGGGGUUGGAAAGUUUCGGCGGUUGGGGAUGGACUCGCGGCUUAUCAGCUUGUUGGUGGGGUAGUGGCUUACCAAGGCUUUGACGGGUAGCCGGCCUGAGAGGGUGACCGGCCACACUGGGACUGAGAUACGGCCCAGACUCCUACGGGAGGCAGCAGUGGGGAAUAUUGCACUAUGGGCGGAAGCCUGAUGCAGCAACGCCGCGUGCGGGAUGACGGCCUUCGGGUUGUAAACCGCUUUCGCCUGUGACGAAGCGUGAGUGACGGUAAUGGGUAAAGAAGCACCGGCUAACUACGUG